GUCUUUUUGGUUAUAAUUUAAAGUCUAAUCUGCCCACUGAUAUGAUUAAAGGGCUGCAGUAUUUUGACUGUACAAAGGUAGCAUAAUCAUUAGUUUUUUAAUUGGAAACUUGUAUGAAAGAUUUGAUGAAAUAAUAACUGUCUCUAAAUUAAAAAUAAAAUUUUAUUUUUUAGUAAAAAAGCUAAAAUAUAUUUAAAAGACGAGAAGACCCUAUAGAGUUUUAUAUUUAAUUUAUUUAAAAUUAUGUAUAAAAUUUUAUAUUAAAAAUAAAUUAAAUAUUAUAUUGGGGUGAUAGAAAAAUUGAAAUAACUUUUUUUUAAUAAUAAACAUUAAUAAAUGAAUAAAUGAGCCAUAAAUUAUGAUUAAAAGAAAAAAUUACCUUAGGGAUAACAGCGUAAUAUUUUUUUUUAGUUCAUAUAAAAAAAAGAGUUUGCGACCUCGAUGUUGGAUUAAGAUAAAAUUUAAAUGCAAAAGUUUAAAGAUUUGAUCUGUUCGAUCAUUAAAAUCUU
rnacentral:rRNA from 1 species